rnacentral:rRNA from 1 species
ACGCUCGACACCUACGAGAGGCAGCAGUGGGGAAUAUUGCACAAUGGAGGAAACUCUGAUGCAGCGAUGCCGCGUGAGGGAAGAAGGUUUUCGGAUUGUAAACCUCUGUCUUUGGGGACGAUAAUGACGGUACCCAAGGAGGAAGCUCCGGCUAACUACGUGCUAGCAGCGCGGUAAUCUGAGCGGGCUGGCAAGGC